GUUUGAUCAUGGCUCAGGAUGAACGCUAGCGGCAGGCCUAAUACAUGCAAGUCGAACGGUGUCUUCGGACAUAGUGGCGCACGGGUGCGUAACACGUAUGCAACCUACCUUACAUUGGGGGAUAGCCUUUCGAAAGGGAGAUUAAUACCGCAUAAGACAGUAACUAGGCAUCUAGUAGCUGUUAAAGAUUUAUCGAUGUAAGCUGGGCAUGCGACCAAUUAGCUUGUUGGUGAGGUAAUGGCUCACCAAGGCUAUGAUUGGUAGGGGAACUGAGAGGUCAAUCCCCCACACUGGCACUGAGAUACGGGCCAGACUCCUACGGGAGGCAGCAGUAGGGAAUAUUGGGCAAUGGACGCAAGUCUGACCCAGCCAUGCCGCGUGCAGGAUGAAGGCGUUAUGCGUUGUAAACUGCUUUUAUACAGGAAGAAACGACUCUUGCGAGAGGCAUUGACGGUACUGUAUGAAUAAGCACCGGCUAACUCCGUGCCAGCAGCCGCGGUAAUACGGAGGGUGCAAGCGUUGUCCGGAUUUAUUGGGUUUAAAGGGUGCGCAGGUGGUUUAUUAAGUCAGUGGUGAAAGACGGUCGCUCAACGAUUGCAGUGCCAUUGAAACUGGUAGACUUGAGUAAAGUAGAGGUGGGCGGAAUUGAUAGUGUAGCGGUGAAAUGCAUAGAUAUUAUCAAGAACUCCAAUUGCGUAGGCAGCUCACUUGGCUUUUACUGACACUCAUGCACGAAAGUGUGGGUAUCAAACAGGAUUAGAUACCCUGGUAGUCCACACUGUAAACGAUGAUAACUA
rnacentral:rRNA from 1 species